CCUACGGGUGGCUGCCGUGAGGAAUAUUGGUCAAUGGGCGGGCGCCUGAACCAGCCAAGUCGCGUGAGGGAUGACGGUCCUAUGGAUUGUAAACCUCUUUUGGCGGGGAGCAAUGCCCGCCACGUGUGCCCGGAGGGAGAGUACCCGCAGAAUAAGCAUCGGCUAACUCCGUGCCAGCAGCCGCGGUAAUACGGAGGAUGCGAGCGUUAUCCGGAUUUAUUGGGUUUAAAGGGUGCGUAGGCGGAAUUUUAAGUCAGCGGGAAAAUGUCGGUGCUCAACCCGGGCCGGCCGUUGAAACUGGGGAUCUUGAGUGGGCGAGAAGUAUGCGGAAUGCGUGGUGUAGCGGUGAAAUGCAUAGAUAUCACGCAGAACUCCGAUUGCGAAGGCAGCAUACCGGCGCCCAACUGACGCUGAGGCACGAAAGCGUGGGGAUCGAACAGGAUUAGAUACCCGAGUAGUC
rnacentral:rRNA from 1 species